rnacentral:rRNA from 1 species
UAGGGAAUAUUAGAAAUGGACGAAAGUCUGAUCUAGCAACACCGCGUGUGCGAAGAAGGCCUUCGGGUCGUAAAGCACUUUUUGGAAGGAAUAGGAAGGAAUGUACUUCCAGAAUAAGUCUCGGCUAACUACGUGCCUGCAGCCGCGGUAACACGUAGGAGGCAAACGUUAUCCGGAUUUACUGGGCGUAAAGCGCGUGUAGGUGGUACUGUAAGUAGGGCGUGAAAGCUCCUGGCUCAACUGGGAGAGGCCGUUCUAAACUACAGAACUAGAGGAUGGUAGAGGGAGGUGGAAUUCCAGGUGUAGCGGUGGAAUGCGCAGAUAUCUGGAGGAACACCGGUGGCGAAGGCGGCCUCCUGGACCAUUCCUGACACUCAGACGCGAAAGCUAGGGUAGCAA